CGCUGCCUAAUACAUGCAAGUCGAACGAGUUCUCGUUGAUGAUCGGUGCUUGCACCGAGAUUCAACAUGGAACGAGUGGCGGACGGGUGAGUAACACGUGGGUAACCUGCCCUUAAGUGGGGGAUAACAUUUGGAAACAGAUGCUAAUACCGCAUAGAUCCAAGAACCGCAUGGUUCUUGGCUGAAAGAUGGCGUAAGCUAUCGCUUUUGGAUGGACCCGCGGCGUAUUAGCUAGUUGGUGAGGUAAUGGCUCACCAAGGCGAUGAUACGUAGCCGAACUGAGAGGUUGAUCGGCCACAUUGGGACUGAGACACGGCCCAAACUCCUACGGGAGGCAGCAGUAGGGAAUCUUCCACAAUGGACGCAAGUCUGAUGGAGCAACGCCGCGUGAGUGAAGAAGGCUUUCGGGUCGUAAAACUCUGUUGUUGGAGAAGAAUGGUCGGCAGAGUAACUGUUGUCGGCGUGACGGUAUCCAACCAGAAAGCCACGGCUAACUACGUGCCAGCAGCCGCGGUAAUACGUAGGUGGCAAGCGUUAUCCGGAUUUAUUGGGCGUAAAGCGAGCGCAGGCGGUUUUUUAAGUCUGAUGUGAAAGCCCUCGGCUUAACCGAGGAAGCGCAUCGGAAACUGGGAAACUUGAGUGCAGAAGAGGACAGUGGAACUCCAUGUGUAGCGGUGAAAUGCGUAGAUAUAUGGAAGAACACCAGUGGCGAAGGCGGCUGUCUGGUCUGUAACUGACGCUGAGGCUCGAAAGCAUGGGUAGCGAACAGGAUUAGAUACCCUGGUAGUCCAUGCCGUAAACGAUGAAUGCUAGGUGUUGGAGGGUUUCCGCCCUUCAGUGCCGCAGCUAACGCAUUAAGCAUUCCGCCUGGGGAGUACGACCGCAAGGUUGAAACUCAAAGGAAUUGACGGGGGCCCGCACAAGCGGUGGAGCAUGUGGUUUAAUUCGAAGCAACGCGAAGAACCUUACCAGGUCUUGACAUCUUUUGAUCACCUGAGAGAUCAGGUUUCCCCUUCGGGGGCAAAAUGACAGGUGGUGCAUGGUUGUCGUCAGCUCGUGUCGUGAGAUGUUGGGUUAAGUCCCGCAACGAGCGCAACCCUUAUGACUAGUUGCCAGCAUUUAGUUGGGCACUCUAGUAAGACUGCCGGUGACAAACCGGAGGAAGGUGGGGAUGACGUCAAAUCAUCAUGCCCCUUAUGACCUGGGCUACACACGUGCUACAAUGGAUGGUACAACGAGUUGCGAGACCGCGAGGUCAAGCUAAUCUCUUAAAGCCAUUCUCAGUUCGGACUGUAGGCUGCAACUCGCCUACACGAAGUCGGAAUCGCUAGUAAUCGCGGAUCAGCACGCCGCGGUGAAUACGUUCCCGGGCCUUGUACACACCGCCCGUCACACCAUGAGAGUUUGUAACACCCGAAGCCGGUGGCGUAACCCUUUUAGGGAGCGAGCCGUCUAAGGUGGGACAAAUGAUUAGGGUGAAGUCGUAACAAGUGGCAU
rnacentral:rRNA from 1 species